ensembl:lncRNA
AUGCGGAGAAUUCUGGAACCUCUGUUGAAGUCAGGUGGAGUGGUGUCCACUGGAAGACUUCUUGAUACCAAAAGUAAUUCUGAAAACCCUGAAGUCCACCUCUGUUUGGAAAAAACAGCUUUCAGAGAGAACCACAACCCACCAUGGAGGCACCAUUCACGUGAGCAGGUCUCACAAAAGCUGUUUGUUCAACAUGAGCUGAGAACAGACGCUUGCACAGACAGCUCUUCAGGCUGCUGGAUUUUACUGCAAGCAGAGGCAAAACCAUCUAGCAGAGUGAGCAGGGAACAUGAGAAUUCAAACCUGAGGAAGGAGCAGAGGGCAGCCGAGGUAACACAUUUCUUUCUGGAACAGAAACAAGCACCCAGUGUUGACAUCUGACUGCUGUGUGCCAUCCAUUUUAGCAUCCAGGCAGACAGCUGGAUUUUCCUCUCAAAGGGAGGUGGUAUCAGCAGAAAAGUGCCAGAUGCCGAGAUAAUUUGAAGAACUGGGAAGAAGUGGGUUAUUUACUGGAGUGGAGAUGCUUUUAUUUUCAACUGCUAUAAUUUUCAGGUGUCUCAGUGAAAUUAGGUCAAAGGGCCUGCUAUGCAGCUUAGUCCAGACAAUACCAGGCUGUAGGAAUCACCUGCUGGGGAGGAUCAAGGAAAGGGUGAUGGCAUUUACUAUAGUUCUGCUGCCCCACAUCUUGUGUCCCUCUCUAAGAUGGGAUGAAAGAUGACAGGGCAUGGUCAAAUGUGACUGGCCCCAGCCCAGGAUCUGUGCUGUGGCUGCUAGUGAGCUGCUGAAGUGGGCCAUCACUGCUUCUUUGUUCCCAGUGAACAUGGGCUGAGAGGCAUCCUGCAUUAAUGAGAUAAACAGGAGUGGAAAUAGCACCGAGAGGAAGAUUUUUGAGAUCUUGUGAAUGAGGAGAUUAUGAUCAGUUUUUGAGCUUGAAUAUAGAGGUAUUUAGAAGCUGGCAUUUAGACUGGCAAGAGGUUUGUCAUCAGAGACAGAGUAACUGGUUACUGAUACACCUGCUAGAUGGUGAUCUGUCUUCCUCCUGCCCUGGUAAGCCCCCAGCUAGGAGGGGCUCUUCUCUUCCUUCCCUUAGAGGGGGCUCCAAUGUCAGGUUCAUCUCACCUCCUAAGGGGACAAUUCACAUGAAUGAGCACACCUGAAUCUAGUAGUUGUCCUUCCCCCAAUCUGGGCCUCUGUGCUGCCAGCUUUCCUUUCCUGGAGGCCAGAUCUGUAUCUCUAGAAUCCUUAUCCUGUCUCAUGAUACACCAAGGCUCUUAGGACUUGCACAUGCCUCAGGUGACAGUCUCAGCUGGCUUCGGAAGCAUCUCCAUGAGGACCAUGCACAGUGGAUCUGAACAGGGGCAGCAUUUACUUAAACAUGAACCUUGAAGACACAGGCUAGCAAGGAGAUCUCUUACACAUGGACACACCUUUGGGCACACACAUUCAGUUGCAUACAUUUUUUCUUCAUAAUAAAUAUAUUAAUCUUUUUGCA